CAAUAGCGUAUAUUAAAGUUGUUGCAGUUAAAAGCUCGUAGUUGGACUUCUGACGUGGGACUGCGCCCGUUCCUUUGGCAUGCGUUGGGUGCGGACUUGUGUCUUCCUCUCGUAGUUGGUUGGUGCACUUAACUGGGUGCCUUCUGAACAUGGGACCUUUACUUUGAAAAAUUUAGAGUGUUCAAAGCAGGCAUUGGCUUGAAUACAUUAGCAUGGAAUAAUAGAAUAGGACUUUGGUUCUAUUUUGUUGGUUUCUAGGACCGAAGUAAUGAUUAAUAGGGACAGUUGGGGGCAGUUAGUAUUUAAUUGUCAGAGGUGAAAUUCUUGGAUUUAUGAAAGACUAACUACUGCGAAAGCAUUUGCCUAGGAUGUUCUCUUUAAUCAAGAACGAAAGUUGGGGGAUCGAAGACGAUUAGAUACC
rnacentral:rRNA from 1 species